GCUCCGGGCGCCGGUCGCCGGUCGGGCGCGUCAGCGUGCCGGCCGGAGGAAAGUCCGGACUCCAUCGGGCAGGGCGUCCGCGCCGGGAGGUGCGGAAUCCCUUUGGCAAACGAAGGGAAAGGAAAGUGCCACAGAAACCAAACCGCCGGCCGCGGCUCGCGCCGCGCGCCGGUAAGGGUGAAACGGCGGUGUAAGAGACCACCGUGCGGAUGCCGAGAGGCGCUGCGCAAGGCAAACCCCGCCCGGAGCAAGAUCAAAUAGGGAAUCGCAGGGGCGGCCCGUCCCGAGGCGCGGCAACGCGCGGCGAUUCCGGGUUGAUCGCCUAGAUAAAUGAUCGGAGCCGCCAUCGGGCGGCUGACAGAAUCCGGCUUAUUCGUCCGGAGCUCCG
rnacentral:RNase_P_RNA from 1 species